AUUGAACGCUGGCGGCAGGCUUAACACAUGCAAGUCGAGCGAGCGGCGGACGGGUGAGUGAUGUCUGGGAACCUGCCUGAUGGAGGGGGAUAACUACUGGAAACGGUCGCUAAUACCGCAUACCAUCAGAUGUGCCCAGAUGGGAUUAGCUAGUAGGUGGGGUAAAGGCUCACCUAGGCGACGAUCCCUAGCGGGUCUGAGAGGAUGACCGGCCACACUGGGACUGAGACACGGUCCAGACUCCUACGGGAGGCAGCAGUGGGGAAUAUUGCGCAAUGGGCGAAAGCCUGAUGCAGCCAUGCCGCGUGUGUGAAGAAGGUCUUCGGAUUGUAAAGCACUUUCAGCGGGGAGGCGUUACUCGCAGAAGAAGCACCGGCUAACUCCGUGCCAGCAGCCGCGGUAAUUC
rnacentral:rRNA from 1 species